GACGAACGCUGGCGGCGUGCCUAAUACAUGCAAGUAGAACGCUGAAGGAGGAGCUUGCUUCUCUGGAUGAGUUGCGAACGGGUGAGUAACGCGUAGGUAACCUGCCUGGUAGCGGGGGAUAACUAUUGGAAACGAUAGCUAAUACCGCAUAAUAGUAGAUGUUGCAUGACAUUUACUUAAAAGGUGCAAUUGCAUCACUACCAGAUGGACCUGCGUUGUAUUAGCUAGUUGGUGGGGUAACGGCUCACCAAGGCGACGAUACAUAGCCGACCUGAGAGGGUGAUCGGCCACACUGGGACUGAGACACGGCCCAGACUCCUACGGGAGGCAGCAGUAGGGAAUCCUCGGCAAUGGACGAAAGUCUGACCGAGCAACGCCGCGUGAGUGAAGAAGGUUUUCGGAUCGUAAAGCUCUGUUGUAAGAGAAGAACGAGUGUGAGAGUGGAAAGUUCACACUGUGACGGUAGCUUACCAGAAAGGGACGGCUAACUACGUG
rnacentral:rRNA from 1 species